rnacentral:rRNA from 1 species
UGGGGAAUUUUGGACAAUGGGCGAAAGCCUGAUCCAGCAAUGCCGCGUGUGUGAAGAAGGCCUUCGGGUUGUAAAGCACUUUUGUCCGGAAAGAAAUCCUUGGCUCUAAUACAGUCGGGGGAUGACGGUACCGGAAGAAUAAGCACCGGCUAACUACGUGCCAGCAGCCGCGGUAAUACGUAGGGUGCAAGCGUUAAGUCGGAAUUACUGGGCGUAAAGCGUGCGCAGGCGGUUUGCUAAGACCGAUGUGAAAUCCCCGGGCUCAACCUGGGAACUGCAUUGGUGACUGGCAGGCUAGAGUAUGGCAGAGGGGGGUAGAAUUCCACGUGUAGCAGUGAAAUGCGUAGAGAUGUGGAGGAAUACCGAUGGCGAAGGCAGCCCCCUGGGCCAAUACUGACGCUCAUGCACGAAAGCGUGGGGAGCAAACAGGAUUAGAUACCCUGGUAGUCCACGCCCUAAACGAUGUCAACUAGUUGUUGGGGAUUCAUUUCCUUAGUAACGUAGCUAACGCGUGAAGUUGACCGCCUGGGGAGUACGGUCGCAAGAUUAAAACUCAAAGGAAUUGACGGGGUCAUAGCUGUUUCCU